UUGAACGCUGGCGGCAGGCCUAACACAUGCAAGUCGAACGGUAACAGGAAACAGCUUGCUGUUUCGCUGACGAGUGGCGGACGGGUGAGUAAUGUCUGGGAAACUGCCUGAUGGAGGGGGAUAACUACUGGAAACGGUAGCUAAUACCGCAUAACGUCGCAAGACCAAAGAGGGGGACCUUCGGGCCUCUUGCCAUCGGAUGUGCCCAGAUGGGAUUAGCUUGUUGGUGGGGUAACGGCUCACCAAGGCGACGAUCCCUAGCUGGUCUGAGAGGAUGACCAGCCACACUGGAACUGAGACACGGUCCAGACUCCUACGGGAGGCAGCAGUGGGGAAUAUUGCACAAUGGGCGCAAGCCUGAUGCAGCCAUGCCGCGUGUAUGAAGAAGGCCUUCGGGUUGUAAAGUACUUUCAGCGGGGAGGAAGGGAGUAAAGUUAAUACCUUUGCUCAUUGACGUUACCCGCAGAAGAAGCACCGGCUAACUCCGUGCCAGCAGCCGCGGUAAUACGGAGGGUGCAAGCGUUAAUCGGAAUUACUGGGCGUAAAGCGCACGCAGGCGGUUUGUUAAGUCAGAUGUGAAAUCCCCGAGCUCAACCUGGGAACUGCAUCUGAUACUGGCAAGCUUGAGUCUCGUAGAGGGGGGUAGAAUUCCAGGUGUAGCGGUGAAAUGCGUAGAGAUCUGGAGGAAUACCGGUGGCGAAGGCGGCCCCCUGGACGAAGACUGACGCUCAGGUGCGAAAGCGUGGGGAGCAAACAGGAUUAGAUACCCUGGUAGUCCACGCCGUAAACGAUGUCGACUUGGAGGUUGUGCCCUUGAGGCGUGGCUUCCGGAGCUAACGCGUUAAGUCGACCGCCUGGGGAGUACGGCCGCAAGGUUAAAACUCAAAUGAAUUGACGGGGGCCCGCACAAGCGGUGGAGCAUGUGGUUUAAUUCGAUGCAACGCGAAGAACCUUACCUGGUCUUGACAUCCACGGAAGUUUUCAGAGAUGAGAAUGUGCCUUCGGGAACCGUGAGACAGGUGCUGCAUGGCUGUCGUCAGCUCGUGUUGUGAAAUGUUGGGUUAAGUCCCGCAACGAGCGCAACCCUUAUCCUUUGUUGCCAGCGGUCCGGCCGGGAACUCAAAGGAGACUGCCAGUGAUAAACUGGAGGAAGGUGGGGAUGACGUCAAGUCAUCAUGGCCCUUACGACCAGGGCUACACACGUGCUACAAUGGCGCAUACAAAGAGAAGCGACCUCGCGAGAGCAAGCGGACCUCAUAAAGUGCGUCGUAGUCCGGAUUGGAGUCUGCAACUCGACUCCAUGAAGUCGGAAUCGCUAGUAAUCGUGGAUCAGAAUGCCACGGUGAAUACGUUCCCGGGCCUUGUACACACCGCCCGUCACACCAUGGGAGUGGGUUGCAAAAGAAGUAGGUAGCUUAACCUUCGGGAGGGCGCUUACCACUUUGUGAUUCAUGACUGGGGUG
rnacentral:rRNA from 1 species